rnacentral:rRNA from 1 species
AAAUGAAUAGACGGGGGCCCGCACAAGCGGUGGAGCAUGUGGUUUAAUUCGACGCAACGCGAAGAACCUUACCAAGGCUUGACAUCCCUCUGGCCGGACUUUAAUCGGUCCUUUUCUUCGGAACAGAGGAGACAGGUGGUGCAUGGUUGUCGUCAGCUCGUGUCGUGAGAUGUUGGGUUAAGUCCCGCAACGAGCGCAACCCUUGCAUCUAGUUGCCAUCAUUAAGUUGGGCACUCUAGAAGGACUGCCGGUGACAAACCGGAGGAAGGUGGGGAUGACGUCAAAUCAUCAUGCCCCUUAUGUCUUGGGCUACACACGUGCUACAAUGGGCAGUACAGAGGGUCGCGAGACCGCGAGGUUUAGCCAAUCCCAUAAAGCUGCUCUCAGUUCGGAUUGCAGGCUGCAACUCGCCUGCAUGAAGUCGGAAUCGCUAGUAAUCGCAGGUCAGCAUACUGCGGUGAAUACGUUCCCGGGCCUUGUACACACCGCCCGU